AUGGUGUCAAUCUUGUUGAAGUUGAGAUACGCAAACCAAAUGACGACCUUGAUAAUUAUGAGGAAGGCAAGCAUGGCGAGAGAUCCUUAACAACUGAAAUCUCCAUCACUUCUGAGAUAUCCGAGGAAACCGAGAACACUCCGUCUCAAGAUAACGAAGACCUUCCUUUGCCUGAAACUGCAGCUAGUAGUUACAAAAGGACUCUAUCAGGGGGUCUUCAGAGUCCACGCUCGACGAGGUGUCAAAGACUGCUAUAUUGCAAAGAAUCAAUUCCAAGAAGGGUUCACAGUCCUACCAAUUGGGACAUAGCCUUUUGCGCAAAUGGUCGACUGGAGCAGGUCCUAGAAUCGGGGUGUGUUAAUGAUUAUCCUGUGGAGCUUAGACUUCAGGCAUUGGAAAUGGUUAACCUAUCUCCAAAACGUCCACCAUCUCCAUUUUCAUACAUGUUAAGGGGCGGUCUUGUUUCGCCUACAGCUCCUCCGACGCCCAACACAGUGCGAGUUUACAACGAUGAGAGUCUGGUUAAUUGA